GAUGAACGCUGGCGGCGUGCCUAAUACAUGCAAGUAGAACGCUGAAGGAGGAGCUUGCUCUUCUGGAUGAGUUGCGAACGGGUGAGUAACGCGUAGGUAACCUGCCUGGUAGCGGGGGAUAACUAUUGGAAACGAUAGCUAAUACCGCAUGACAACAGUUAUUGCAUGAUAACUGUUUAAAAGGGGCAACUGCUCCACUACCAGAUGGACCUGCGUUGUAUUAGCUAGUUGGUGAGGUAACGGCUCACCAAGGCGACGAUACAUAGCCGACCGGAGAGGGUGCACGGCCACACUGGGACUGAGACACGGCCCAGACUACUUCGGGAGGCAGCAGUAGGGAAUCUUGGGCAAUGGACGGGAGUCUGACCGAGCAACGCCGCGUGAGAGAAGAAGGUUAUCGGAUCGUAAAGAUCUGUUGUAAGAGAAGAACGAGUGUGAGAGUGGAAAGUUCACACUGUGACGGUAUCUUACCAGAAAGGGACGGCUAGCUACGUG
rnacentral:rRNA from 1 species